GCUAAAUUAGCUUAAAGGUAAAGUAUUAGUUUUGUAAUCUAAAGUUAAUGGUUCAAUUCCAUUAUUUAGCU
rnacentral:tRNA from 1 species